UAGGGAAUCUUCGGCAAUGGACGGAAGUCUGACCGAGCAACGCCUCGUGAGUGAAGAAGGUUUUCGGAUCGUAAAGCUCUGUUGUAAGAGAAGAACGAGUGUGAGAGUGGAAAGUUCACACUGUGACGGUAUCUUACCAGAAAGGGACGGCUAACUACGUGCCAGCAGCCGCGGUAAUACGUAGGUCCCGAGCGUUGUCCGGAUUUAUUGGGCGUAAAGCGAGCGCAGGCGGUUAGAUAAGUCUGAAGUUAAAGGCUAUGGCUUAACCAUAGUAGGCUUUGGAAACUGUUUAACUUGAGUGCAAGAGGGGAGAGUGGAAUUCCAUGUGUAGCGGUGAAAUGCGUAGAUAUAUGGAGGAACACCGGUGGCGAAAGCGGCUCUCUGGCUUGUAACUGACGCUGAGGCUCGAAAGCGUGGGGAGCAAACAGGAUUAGAUACCCUGGUAGUCCACGCUGUAAACGAUGAGUGCUAGGUGUUAGACCCUUUCCGGGGUUUAGUGCCGUAGCUAACGCAUUAAGCACUCCGCCUGGGGAGUACGACCGCAAGGUUG
rnacentral:rRNA from 1 species